UUACCGAGUUGAUUCGGGCUCCGGCCCGAUCCUCCCACCCUUUGUGUACCUACCUCUGUUGCUUUGGCGGGCCGCGGUCCUCCGCGGCCGCCCCCCUCCCCGGGGGGUGGCCAGCGCCCGCCAGAGGACCAUCAAACUCCAGUCAGUAAACGAUGCAGUCUGAAAAACAUUUAAUAAACUAAAACUUUCAACAACGGAUCUCUUGGUUCUGGCAUCGAUGAAGAACGCAGCGAAAUGCGAUAAGUAAUGUGAAUUGCAGAAUUCAGUGAAUCAUCGAAUCUUUGAACGCACAUUGCGCCCUUUGGUAUUCCGAAGGGCAUGCCUGUUCGAGCGUCAUUACAACCCUCAAGCUCUGCUUGGUAUUGGGCACCGUCCUUUGCGGGCGCGCCUCAAAGACCUCGGCGGUGGCGUCUUGCCUCAAGCGUAGUAGAACAUACAUCUCGCUUCGGAGCGCAGGGCGUCGCCCGCCGGACGAACCUUCUGAACUUUUCUCAAGGUUGACCUCGGAUCAGGUAGGGAUACCCGCUGAACUUAA
rnacentral:rRNA from 1 species